AUACGUAGGGGGCGAGCGUUGUCCGGAAUGAUUGGGCGUAAAGGGCGCGUAGGCGGCGCGGUAAGUCUGGAGUGAAAGUCCUGCUUUCAAGGUGGGAAUUGCUUUGGAUACUGCCGCGCUUGAGUGCAGGAGAGGUUAUCGGAAUUCCCGGUGUAGCGGUGAAAUGCGUAGAGAUCGGGAGGAACACCAGUGGCGAAGGCGGGUAACUGGACUGCAACUGACGCUGAGGCGCGAAAGUGUGGGGAGCAAACAGGAUUAGAUACCCUGGUAGUCCACACUGUAAACGAUGAAUGCUAGGUGUAAGAGGUAUCGACCCCUUUUGUGCCGGAGUCAACACAAUAAGCAUUCCGCCUGGGGAGUACGGCCGCGAGGUUGAAACUCAAAGGAAUUGACGGGG
rnacentral:rRNA from 1 species